GAUGAACGCUGGCGGCGUGCCUAAUACAUGCAAGUCGAGCGGUAACACUUCGGGUGACGAGCGGCGGACGGCUGAGUAACGCGUGGGAAUGUACUCCAAAGUGAGGGAUAACUGCUGGAACGAGUAGCUAAUACCGCAUGUGGUUUACGGAUUAAAGCUUCGGCGCUUUGGGAACAGCCUGCGUAAGAUUAGCUGGUUGGUGAGGUAACGGCUCACCAAGGCGACGAUCUUUAGCUGGGCUGAGAGGAUGAUCAGCCAGACUGGGACUGAGAACGGCCCAGACUCCUACGGGAGGCAGCAGUAGGGAAUUUUCCACAAUGGACGAAAGUCUGAUGGAGCAACGCCGCGUGCAGGAUGAAUGCCUUCGGGUUGUAAACUGCUUGUAUAUGUGACGAUUAUGACGGUAGCAUAAGAAUAAGGAUCGGCUAAUUCCGUGCCAGCAGCCGCAGUAA
rnacentral:rRNA from 1 species